rnacentral:rRNA from 1 species
CAKGGYAGCCCGCAGAGUUUGAUCAUGGCUCAGGACGAACGCUGGCGGCGUGCCUAAUACAUGCAAGUCGAGCGGACAGAUGGGAGCUUGCUCCCUGAUGUUAGCGGCCGGACGGGUGAGUAACACGUGGGUAACCUGCCUGUAAGACUGGGAUAACUCCGGGAAACCGGGGCUAAUACCGGAUGGUUGUUUGAACCGCAUGGUUCAGACAUAAAAGGUGGCUUCGGCUACCACUUACAGAUGGACCCGCGGCGCAUUAGCUAGUUGGUGAGGUAACGGCUCACCAAGGCGACGAUGCGUAGCCGACCUGAGAGGGUGAUCGGCCACACUGGGACUGAGACACGGCCCAGACUCCUACGGGAGGCAGCAGUAGGGAAUCUUCCGCAAUGGACGAAAGUCUGACGGAGCAACGCCGCGUGAGUGAUGAAGGUUUUCGGAUCGUAAAGCUCUGUUGUUAGGGAAGAACAAGUGCCGUUCAAAUAGGGCGGCACCUUGACGGUACCUAACCAGAAAGCCACGGCUAACUACGUGCCAGCAGCCGCGGUAAUACGUAGGUGGCAAGCGUUGUCCGGAAUUAUUGGGCGUAAAGGGCUCGCAGGCGGUUUCUUAAGUCUGAUGUGAAAGCCCCCGGCUCAACCGGGGAGGGUCAUUGGAAACUGGGGAACUUGAGUGCAGAAGAGGAGAGUGGAAUUCCACGUGUAGCGGUGAAAUGCGUAGAGAUGUGGAGGAACACCAGUGGCGAAGGCGACUCUCUGGUCUGUAACUGACGCUGAGGAGCGAAAGCGUGGGGAGCGAACAGGAUUAGAUACCCUGGUAGUCCACGCCGUAAACGAUGAGUGCUAAGUGUUAGGGGGUUUCCGCCCCUUAGUGCUGCAGCUAACGCAUUAAGCAMYCCCCCCCGG